rnacentral:rRNA from 1 species
GACGAACGCUGGCGGCGUGCUUAACACAUGCAAGUCGAACGGAAAGGCCCUGCUUUUGUCGGGUGCUCGAGUGGCGAACGGGUGAGUAACACGUGAGUAACCUGCCCUUGACUUUGGGAUAACUUCAGGAAACUGGGGCUAAUACCGGAUAGGAGCUCCUGCUGCAUGGGGGGGGUUGGAAAGUUUCGGCGGUUGGGGAUGGACUCGCGGCUUAUCAGCUUGUUGGUGGGGUAGUGGCUUACCAAGGCUUUGACGGGUAGCCGGCCUGAGAGGGUGAACGGCCACAUUGGGACUGAGAUACGGCGCAGACUCCUACGGGAGGCAGCAGUGGGGAAUAUUGCACAAUGGGCGGAAGCCUGAUGCAGAAACGCCGCGUGCGGGAUGACGGCCUUCGGGUUGUAAACCGCUUUCGCCUGUGACGAAGCGUGAGUGACGGUAAUGGGUAAAGAAGCACCGGCUAACUACGUG